rnacentral:rRNA from 1 species
GAACUUAAGCAUAUCAAUAAGCGGAGGAAAAGAAACCAACAGGGAUUGCCUCAGUAACGGCGAGUGAAGCGGCAACAGCUCAAAUUUGAAAUCUGGCCGCAAGGUCCGAGUUGUAAUUUGUAGAGGAUGCUUUUGGCGAGGUGCCUUCCGAGUUCCCUGGAACGGGACGCCAUAGAGGGUGAGAGCCCUGUACGGUAGGACCACCAAGCCUCUGUAAAGCUCCUUCGACGAGUCGAGUAGUUUGGGAAUGCUGCUCUAAAUGGGAGGUGUACGUCUUCUAAAGCUAAAUACCGGCCAGAGACCGAUAGCGCACAAGUAGAGUGAUCGAAAGAUGAAAAGCACUUUGAAAAGAGGGUUAAAAAGUACGUGAAAUUGUUGAAAGGGAAGCAUUCAUGGCCAGACUUGGGCUUGGUUGAACAUCCGGCGUUCUCGCCGGUGCACUCUGCCAGUCCAGGCCAGCAUCAGUUUGCCCCGGGGGAUAAAGGCGGCGGGAAUGUGGCUCCCUUCGGGGAGUGUUAUAGCCCGUCGUGUAAUGCCCUGGGGCGGACUGAGGAACGCGCUUCGGCACGGAUGCUGGCGUAAUGGUCAUCAAUGACCCGUCUUGAAACACGGACCAAGGAGUCGUCUUCGUAUGCGAGUGUUCGGGUGUCAAACCCCUACGCGUAAUGAAAGUGAACGUAGGUGAGAGCUUCGGCGCAUCACCGACCGAUCCUGAUGUUCUCGGAUGGAUUUGAGUAAGAGCAUACGGGGCCGGACCCGAAA